UACGUAGGGGGCAAGCGUUGUCCGGAAUUAUUGGGCGUAAAGAGCGUGUAGGCGGCCAGAUAAGUCCGCUGUGAAAUCUCGAGGCUCAACUUCGAGCUGUCGGUGGAAACUAUCUGGCUAGAGUCCGGAAGAGGAGAAUGGAAUUCCUGGUGUAGCGGUGAAAUGCGCAGAUAUCAGGAAGAACACCCGUGGCGAAGGCGGUUCUCUGGGCCAUUACUGACGCUGAGGAGCGAAAGCGUGGGGAGCGAACAGG
rnacentral:rRNA from 1 species